GAUGAACGCUGGCGGCGUGCCUAAUACAUGCAAGUCGAGCGAACGGACGAGAAGCUUGCUUCUCUGAUGUUAGCGGCGGACGGGUGAGUAACACGUGGAUAACCUACCUAUAAGACUGGGAUAACUUCGGGAAACCGGAGCUAAUACCGGAUAAUAUUUUGAACCGCAUGGUUCAAAAGUGCAAGAUGGUCUUGCUGUCACUUAUAGAUGGAUCCGCGCUGCAUUAGCUAGUUGGUAAGGUAACGGCUUACCAAGGCAACGAUGCAUAGCCGACCUGAGAGGGUGAUCGGCCACACUGGAACUGAGACACGGUCCAGACUCCUACGGGAGGCAGCAGUGGGGAAUCUUCCACAAUGGGCGAAAGCCUGACGGAGCAACGCCGCGUGAGUGAUGAAGGUCUUCGGAUCGUAAAGCUCUGUUAUUAGGGAAGAACAGAUGUGUAAGUAACUGUGCACAUCUUGACGGUACCUAAUCAGAAAGCCACGGCUAACUACGUG
rnacentral:rRNA from 1 species